rnacentral:rRNA from 1 species
AUGGCCAAUUCAAAAAGUUGUUUUUACCCAAACGGCUGCAGCGCACUCACUGCAGAUCCCAUGCACAUCCACUUCGCGAGGAGAGGAGCAAAUACUUGGCAAGGAAAGAAGAAUGUCAGCCAUGUCCGCUCGUGCUACAGCUACUGCUCGUCCUCCGUCCUGCCGCUCCAUCAGCAGCAACGGCUGCCCACAGGAAGACGAGGCGCGGACGUGGGAGGAAAAGCUUGCGGAUCCCAUGGGGAGGCGACCGCCGCGACGUUCGUUGAGGUGGCGCCGGAGCUCGUCGGGUGGUUGGGAUCCAGGGACGGCGGGGCUGGUGGAUGA